rnacentral:rRNA from 1 species
CAGUCGCCACGGUAAUACGGAGGGUGCAAGCGUUGUCCGGAUUUAUUGGGUUUAAAGGGUGCGUAGGCGGCCUAAUAAGUCAGUGGUGAAAGCCUCCAGCUCAACUGGAGAACUGCCAUUGAUACUGUUGGGCUUGAGUAUACUUGAGGUAGGCGGAAUUGACAGUGUGGCGGUGAAAUGCAUAGAUAUUGUCAAGAACACCAAUUGCGAAGGCAGCUUACUAAAUUAUAACUGACGCUGAGGCACGAAAGUGUGGGUAUCAAACAGGAUUAGAUACCCCCGUAGUCCCUGUCUCUUAUAC